GCCUGGAUGAGGGACGAAGCGAGGAGGGGAUUGUGUGGAGCCGGCGAGCUUUGGGAGUUGCUGUGAGGGGUUAUGGGCUUGUUGGGGAGGUCUGGAAGCCUCUGGAUCUUCUCUUCCUCCGUCGGCUGGGGGUGACCAGUUUCCAGUACAAGCCUUCAAGAGACAGCUGCUGUAAUUUUGAAUUCCUUUGGAAGAUGUGCCAUUCCAGAUAAACAUCAGUUGCAUCCCCACUGCUAAUUAUGCAGGGGUGUAGGAAUCCGGGAUAUAGCUCUCUAUUGUGCACCACCUGUUGGUAGGACUGCUCUCUGUAUCAGCGACUCGAGCUGGUGAAUACACAAAAAAUAUGCAGUCUGUAACUGUGGCAGUUUUGCACAGAGAAGUCAUGGGGAUGGUAGGGUCAGAGGACAUAAAGUUCCUGUAAAGUCUAAAAGGAAAGUGAAACGUGGAUGGAGAUGGAGAUGGAGCAAUGAGCACUGAAAACAAUUGAUCGCAUCUCUGCUACAGAAGAGGGAUAAGAGCAAAUGGAAACUGAUGAGCUCAGUGACUUGGUGUAUGAGAGGGUGAGUGUUUUGUGAAGCUGAGAGCUACCAACCAUGUCUGGACUGGAAGCUCCAGGGUCAAUGUAAGCUUCUUUGUAGCUGAAAGGAGGAGAGAAACCAGCUUUUGCCAAGGGCAUCUGCUGAGAUUCUCAAGCACAGAAGAUACUGACAGUGGGAAGUGCGCAGUUGAAAGGUACAACUGGGAACAAAACCAGCUCAGCUGGGAAGCAGGCAGAGGCGUCUGGGUUUGGGCUGCUUGUAUUACAUCUUACUCAGAAAGCAGUUUCCGCUAGAAAUUCAUAUAUUAGAGGACGUUCAUGCUAGUCAAAGCUGCAUUGCAGGGUUUAAACUCAGCCAUGUAGCAGUCUACACAAAUGGAAAGGAGGACAAUACUCUGCCUUGCAGAGAUGUCUGCUCAAGGGGCACCCCGAGGGAGAUGGCAGGAAAGGCACGAAGGGGUGUGAGAAGCUAUCGUAUGACUAAUUGCUGUUUGCAGCUGUGGAUAGACACGUGUUUAAUUAUCUGCUACAUGCAUGCAAAUUUCAUUUGCAGUCACUAGAGCCCAGGUGUUCCCUGGCAUAAUACAAAGUACAACAAACAAAAGGAAAAGGUUUGGAGAGCCAACUAAGAGGGGCUAGGAGGGGCAGCUUCAUGCUGUAUUCCUUCCUACUGUAUGCUAGGCUUGUCCUGCCAUUUUUCUGACUUCCAAGUGUAGAUUUGUACAUCCAUAGAGAGAGAUGAAGCCUGUGAACAGCCACUGCCAGCAGCUCACAGCCCAGGCCACUAGCAGGGGCUGAGGUGGAAUGAACGGGGUUGAGCACCCAGCAGUAACUUGGAAGGGAGCAGGGGCUGGGCUCCUGGCUGCCUCCACACGGCCUGCAACUGUCCAGCAGAGCAGCACUUCUCUGUGUUCCUGGCUUGCUUUUCUCCUCAAGGCAUUUCCCUUGGUAGGGGUACCUCCUCUCCUAGCAGUCUUAAGGCUCACCUUUCCUUCGCCUUUCUUUCUUCUUCAUCACAAGUCCUAUUCCACUGUCUAGGCUCGCAUCUGUUCUUACUGCUUUUUUUUUUUCCACUGCUAAGAAGUCAGUAUUUUAUCACAGAAAUAGACUUGAACAUUCAUUUAACUCUUUGUAGGAAAAUGCUUUUUGUAAGAUCUACACAUUGCAUUCCCAACACUCAGAAACAGGAGUCCAGACAAACAGGGCUACUGCCUUCUUCUGUCAGCCCUUAUCAGGGACAUCCAUUUGGUGUAUUUUUGGAACACAAAGAUAAAAACAAAGAUAAAUCUACAGAAGACUGGACCACAGUGCCCUGAAUUUCUUUACAUCACUGGAGAAAGAUGCUGAAGUUGUUUAAAUGAGGAAACCACAAAGAGAAUGCUCCCAUUAUCAUUUGGCUGCUUUUUUAUAAUUGUAAUAAAUGGGAACUCACUGGACUUGGUGUCAUCCACCUGAGGUAACAUGCUCCCAUUGAAUCUAAUACAAAUUAACUGGAGAAGAAUCCUUUGCUCUUGAUACUUACACAGGCUGCCACAGAGGAGAAGUGGUUCUGCAGCAUCUGCAGACAGAAGGGGUCCCCCCUCAUGUGCCAUCCUCUGCUUGCUUAAAGACCUCAACCCCACUCGCUUUCACCCCAUCUGAUUCCUGCAGAGUAGCUCUGUAGCUGAGAACCCUCUGCACCAUGGAGUUGCUGUAGAAGAUAAGGACUGCAGGACUUUGCGUGAAGAGUUUUCUGACAGCCAUCCCACCCCAAGACCUGCAGCUACAAGUACAAGGACAGAGAAAGGAGAAGCCCUGUCAAGUUUAUUUGGGCCAACUCUGUAUUUAGAAAUCCACCAUGGAUCAUGAUCAGGUGCAAAGAUGUGAAUAUCAAAGAACACAGUCUGGCUGUUUUCAUCCUGCAGUUCUCAAGUGUGAAUUGCAGAAUGUGCAACUACUGCUCAUAAUCUAACUUGCCUUCAUUUAAUCAGAAAGAAAAUCAAUGGAAGAAACGUUUGGCUAAGAAGCUUACAAGAAAAAAUUCUGAGGUUUUUAGAUGACAGAAUUCUAAGAAGCAACAAUGACGGACUGCUGCUUAUCCAGACAAACCAGAUCCUUAAAGCUACAGAACUACUUGUAUAAAGCAAGCUGGAUUUAGGUGUCUGAAAAAAGGACAAGAAAUACUGGAUUAAAAUAACCAGGCAAGAAAAUGGAUGGCCUU